AAAUUGAAGAGUUUGAUCAUGGCUCAGAUUGAACGCUGGCGGCAGGCCUAACACAUGCAAGUCGAGCGGCAGCGGGAAAGUAGCU
rnacentral:rRNA from 1 species